rnacentral:rRNA from 1 species
GUCUUAUAUGUGGGUAGGUUGGGAAAUUUUUUUUUAAAGGUAAAAAGUAUUGGUUGGUCCAGUUACCUUGUGUAUUAUGGUUUCGUAAGUAGAAUCCAAGUAUUAGGGGUUCCCGAAAUUUCUUGAGCUUCCACCGUGUUGUUAGGAACUGCUUUUCUUAUGGGAAAAAUGAGAAUUAAAUAUUGUGGAAGGAGUUAUAUUCUUGUCAAAGGAAAAGAUAUCUGGUUGUUGGGGAAUAAAGAAUAAUGCUUUGUUUUAAAGGUUAGAAUUAUAGGGAUUAGCUUGUAGUUGAGGUUCUAGAUUUUUAUUUGAGUUCAGUUUCGGAGGCUUAAGAGCAGCUUUUACGUUAUUGUAGGGCUAAAUGUGAUAAAAAGAAUCUGUUCAUACACCCAGCUUAGGAGCAAAUUUAUUACGCUUUUGUAAAAAUGCAGAGAAUUAGUAUAUUUGAUUUAAUAAUAUUUAGAGAAUUACACAUAGAAAAAGGAACUCGGCAAAUAUGCUUUCGCCUGUUUAUCAAAAACAUCGCCUUUUGUUUGUCAUAGAAGGUCUAACCUGCCCGGUGCAUUAUGUAAACGGCUGCGGUAGCUUGACUGUACAAAGGUAGCAUAAUCAUUAGCCUAUUAAUUGUAGGAUGGAAUGAAGGGUAAAACGGGGGUAUACUGUCUCUUUCUAUUUUUUAGAAAUUAAUUUUUAAGUGAAAAAGCUUGGAUUUAAGCGAAGGACAAAAAGACCCUGGGAGCUUAAUAUUAACUCCCUUAUGGGGGCUAUUAAUUUGUUGGGGCAACAGAGGAUACUAACAUCCUUUAUUUUAGUGUCGGAGCUACUGUUUUGCAAUUAUUAGCUCCCCCAGGGAUAACAGCGUUAUUCCCCUUAGAGACCUUAUCGAAGGGGGGGAUUGCGACCUCGAUGUUGGACUAGAGAACCCGCCAACCGCAGAAGGCUGGUUGGUAGGUCUGUUCGACCUUUAAAUCUCUACACGAUCUGAGUUAAGACCGGCGGGAGCCAGGUUGGUUUCUAUCCUCGUCUUAUUUAUUUUUCAGGUUAGUACGAAAGGAUUUCCUGUGACAAGAAUCUUGUAUAUUUGAAGUUAUAUAACUGUUUAUUU